CAGUAGCCACGGGAAUACGUAGGUGGCAAGCGUUGUCCGGAAUUAUUGGGCGUAAAGCGCGCGCAGGCGGAUAGGUCAGUCUGUCUUAGAAGUUCGGGGCUUAACCCCGUGAUGGGAUGGAAACUGCCAAUCUAGAGUAUCGGAGAGGAAAGUGGAAUUCCUAGUGUAGCGGUGAAAUGCGUAGAUAUUAGGAAGAACACCAGUGGCGAAGGCGACUUUCUGGACGAAAACUGACGCUGAGGCGCGAAAGCCAGGGGAGCGAACGGGAUUAGGACCCCUGUAGUCCCUGUCUCUUAUACAC
rnacentral:rRNA from 1 species